AGAGUUUGAUCAUGGCUCAGGAUGAACGCUGGCGGCAUGCCUAAUACAUGCAAGUCGAAUGGAAGAGCUUGCUUUUCCAUGGCGAACGGGUGAGUAACACGUAGGUAACCUACCUUAAGGACGAGGAUAACCUUUGGAAACGAAGGAUAAUACUGGAUAGGACAUUAUAAAGCACAUGCUUAAAUGUUUAAAGGAGCAAUCCACCAUAAGAGGGGCCUGCGGCGCAUUAGCUAGUUGGUGAGAUAAAGGCCCACCAAGGCGAUGAUGCGUAGCUGGACUGAGAGGUUGAACAGCCACAAUGGGACUGAGAACGGCCCAUACUCCUACGGGAGGCAGCAGUAGGGAAUUUUCGGCAAUGGGCAAAAGCCUGACCGAGCAAUGCCGCGUGAUCGAAGAAGUAUUUCGGUAUGUAAAGAUCUUUUAUCAGGGAAGAAAAAACAAAUUGACUGAACCUGAUGAAUAAGCUCCGGCUAACUACGUGCCAGCAGCCGCGGUAAUACGUAGGGAGCGAGCGUUAUCCGGAAUUAUUGGGCGUAAAGGGUGCGUAGACGGCAAUAAAAGUUUCUUGUUAAAUAUCUUGGCUCAACCAAGUAGUGCAAGGGAUACUGUAUAGCUAGAGUAUAGAAGAGGUAAGUGGAACUCCAUGUGUAGCGGUAAAAUGCGUAAAUAUAUGGAAGAACACCAGUGGCGAAAGCGGCUUACUAGUCUGAUACUGACGUUGAGGCACGAAAGCGUGGGGAGCAAACAGGAUUAGAUACCCUGGUAGUCCACGCCCUAAACGAUGAGUACUAAGUGUUGGAGCAAUUCAGCGCUGAAGUUAACGCAUUAAGUACUCCGCCUGAGUAGUACGUACGCAAGUAUGAAACUUAAAGGAAUUGACGGGAGCCCGCACAAGCGGUGGAGCAUGUUGUUUAAUUCGACGAUACGCGAAGAACCUUACCAGGUCUUGACAUCUUGGUGUUAGCUAUAGAGAUAUAGUGAGAUUGCCAAAGACAGGUGGUGCAUGGUUGUCGUCAGCUCGUGUCGUGAGAUGUUGGGUUAAGUCCCGCAACGAGCGCAACCCUUAUUGCUAGUUACCAUCAUUAAGUUGGGGACUCUAGCGAGACUGCCAGUGAUAAAUUGGAGGAAGGUGGGGAUGACGUCAAAUCAUCAUGCCCUUUAUGACCUGGGCUACAAACGUGCUACAAUGGCUGAAACAAAGAGAAGCGAAGCAGUGAUGUGGAGCGAACCUCAAAAAAGCAGUCUCAGUUCGGAUUGAAGUCUGCAACUCGACUUCAUGAAGUUGGAAUCGCUAGUAAUCGCGAAUCAGAAUGUCGCGGUGAAUACGUUCUCGGGCUUUGUACACACCGCCCGUCAAACCAUGAGAGUUUGUAAUACCCGAAGCCGGUGGCAUAACCGCAAGGAAUGAGCCGUCUAAGGUAGGACAGAUGAUUGGGGUUAAGUCGUAACAAGGUAACC
rnacentral:rRNA from 1 species